AAAGUCGUAACAAGGUCUCCGUAGGUGAACCUGCGGAGGGAUCAUUAAUAAGAUUUGGACUCAUUUCGGGUUCUUUAUCCUCAAACCUGUGGAAGCGAGACGUGCUUCGGCGCCUCUGGGCGUCGAAUCUAUGCUGUUUAGCUUGUGUCUGAAUAAAAACAAAAUUUUAAAACUUUCAACAAAGGAUCUCUUGGCUCUC
rnacentral:misc_RNA from 1 species